CCUACGGGGGACAGCAGUGGGGAAUAUUGCACAAUGGGGGAAACCCUGAUGCAGCGACGCCGCGUGAGUGAAGAAGUAUCUAGGUAUGGAAAGCUUUAUCAGCAGGAACGAGACAAGACGGUACCUGACUAAGAAGCCCGGGCUAACUACGUGCCAGUAGUCGCGGUAAUACGUAGGGGGCAAGCGUUAUCCGGAAUCACUGGGUGUAAAGGGAGUGUAGGCGGCUGUGGAAGCCGGAGGUGAAAGGCGGGGGCCCAACCCCUGGACUGCUGUUGAAACUGUCCGGCUUGAGUGCAGGAGAGGUAUGUGGAAUUCCUAGUGUAGCGGUGAAAUGCGUAGAUAUUACGAAGAACACCGGUCGCGAAGGCAGCUUACUGGCCUGUAACUGACGUUGAGGCUCGAAAGCGUGGGGAGCAAACAGGAUUAGAUACCCGUGUAGUC
rnacentral:rRNA from 1 species